AACGCUAGCUACAGGCUUAACACAUGCAAGUCGAGGGGCAGCAUGGUCUUAGCUUGCUAAGGCCGAUGGCGACCGGCGCACGGGUGAGUAACGCGUAUCCAACCUGCCUUACACUCUUGGACAGCCUUCUGAAAGGGAGAUUAAUACAAGAUGUUAUCAUGAGUAAGCAUUUUCGCAUGAUUAAAGGUUUACCGGUGUAAGAUGGGGAUGCGUUCCAUUAGAUAGUAGGCGGGGUAACGGCCCACCUAGUCUUCGAUGGAUAGGGGUUCUGAGAGGAAGGUCCCCCACGUUGGAACUGAGACACGGUCCAAACUCCUACGGGAGGCAGCAGUGAGGAAUAUUGGUCAAUGGACGAGAGUCUGAACCAGCCAAGUAGCGUGAAGGAUGAAGGUUCUAUGGAUUGUAAACUUCUUUUAUACGGGAAUAAACGGAUCCACGUGUGGAUUUUUGCAUGUACCGUAUGAAUAAGGAUCGGCUAACUCCGUGCCAGCAGCCGCGGUAAUACGGAGGAUCCGAGCGUUAUCCGGAUUUAUUGGGUUUAAAGGGAGCGUAGAUGGGUUGUUAAGUCAGUUGUGAAAGUUUGCGGCUCAACCGUAAAAUUGCAAUUGAUACUGGCAGUCUUGAGUACAGUUGAGGUAGGCGGAAUUCGUGGUGUAGCGGUGAAAUGCUUAGAUAUCACGAAGAACUCCGAUUG
rnacentral:rRNA from 1 species